UCGAGAAUCAUUCACAAUGGGCGAAAGCCUGAUGGUGUGACGCCGCGUGGAGGAUUAAGGUCUUCGGAUUGUAAACUCCUGUCAAGUGAGAGUAAAUUUGCGCGUUAACUGCGUCGCAAACUGAGAGUAUCACUAGAGGAAGAGACGGCUAACUCUGUGCCAGCAGCCGCGGUAAUACAGAGGUCUCAAGCGUUGUUCGGAAUCACUGGGCGUAAAGGGUGCGUAGGCUGUGUUGUAAGUCAGAGGUGAA
rnacentral:rRNA from 1 species